UACAGAGACUGCAAGCGUUAUUCGGAUUCACUGGGCGUAAAGAGCGCGCAGGCGGUCGUUCAAGUCGCGUGUGAAAGCCCCCGGCUCAACUGGGGAGGGUCACGCGAUACUGAUCGACUCGAAGGCAGGAGAGGGAAGUGGAAUUCCCGGUGUAGUGGUGAAAUGCGUAGAUAUCGGGAGGAACACCAGUGGCGAAGGCGACUUCCUGGCCUGUUCUUGACGCUGAGGUGCGAAAGCUAGGGGAGCAAACGGG
rnacentral:rRNA from 1 species